rnacentral:rRNA from 1 species
AGACCCGAAACCCGGUGAUCUAGCCAUGGGCAGGUUGAAGGUUGGGUAACACUAACUGGAGGACCGAACCGACUAAUGUUGAAAAAUUAGCGGAUGACCUGUGGCUGGGGGUGAAAGGCCAAUCAAACCGGGAGAUAGCUGGUUCUCCCCGAAAGCUAUUUAGGUAGCGCCUCGUGAAUUCAUCUCCGGGGGUAGAGCACUGUUUCGGCUAGGGGGCCAUCCCGGCUUACCAACCCGAUGCAAACUGCGAAUACCGGAGAAUGUUAUCACGGGAGACACACGGCGGGUGCUAACGUCCGUCGUGAAGAGGGAAACAACCCAGACCGCCAGCUAAGGUCCCAAAGUCAUGGUUAAGUGGGAAACGAUGUGGGAAGGCCCAGACAGCCAGGAUGUUGGCUUAGAAGCAGCCAUCAUUUAAAGAAAGCGUAAUAGCUCACUGGUCGAGUCGGCCUGCGCGGAAGAUGUAACGGGGCUAAACCAUGCACCGAAGCUGCGGCAGCGACACUCAGGUGUUGUUGGGUAGGGGAGCGUUCUGUAAGCCUGUGAAGGUGGCCUGUGAGGGUUGCUGGAGGUAUCAGAAGUGCGAAUGCUGACAUAAGUAACGAUAAAGCGGGUGAAAAGCCCGCUCGCCGGAAGACCAAGGGUUCCUGUCCAACGUUAAUCGGGGCAGGGUGAGUCGACCCCUAAGGCGAGGCCGAAAGGCGUAGUCGAUGGGAAACGGGUUAAUAUUCCCGUACUUGGUGUUACUGCGAAGGGGGGACGGAGAAGGCUAUGUUGGCCGGGCG